UACGUAGGGUGCAAGCGUUGUCCGGAAUUAUUGGGCGUAAAGAGCUCGUAGGCGGUUUGUCGCGUCUGCUGUGAAAACUCGGGGCUCAACUCCGAGCUUGCAGUGGGUACGGGCAGACUAGAGUGCGGUAGGGGAGACUGGAAUUCCUGGUGUAGCGGUGGAAUGCGCAGAUAUCAGGAGGAACACCAGUGGCGAAGGCGGCUCACUGGCCCGGUACUGACGCUGAGGUGCGAAAGCGUGGGGAGCAAACAGG
rnacentral:rRNA from 1 species